rnacentral:rRNA from 1 species
AUGGCGGAUGGUGAUGGACCUUGGUAUGACGGAUUAAUCGAUGAGUGGGAUAAGGAGCAUCAUGCUCGUGCCAUUGAGAACGGACAUCUUGUAGUUGCUAUGCGCAUGAGGGGACAUUCGGCUGAUGACUUUACUUAUGACCCGCGGUACGAGCCUUAUAUUCGGAGAUUGGGUCUUCUCCCAUUCGUGUUGCAGUUUAAGCGACGCGCUCUGCCGGUGAACCACGCGGCGCUGACCGCACUUGUGGAUCGUUGGAGGCUGGAGACUCACUCGUUCCACCUUCCAUUUGGGGAGAUGACGAUGACCCUUGAGGACAUGGCUAUGAUAAGCGGCCUUCCUAUCAACGGACAAGCUGUUACCGGUCGUGUCAGUGCCGUUAAUUGGCGAGAACGGACUGGCAUUUUAAUUGGUGUUCAGCCCGACGCCCCUGAGGAAGGCAAGGCCGAUACCGCGAGAGUGAGGCAUUCUUGGCUAAAAGCGGUUAGAGGAAACACCAAUCUGUGUCCUCAGGGUGCUAAUGACGUGGUUGUGCAGCAGUACGCGCGGGCCUAUCUUUGGUAUGUGCUAACCAAGGUAGUCUUCUCAGAUGCAACCGGGAACUCGGCCCUCUGGAUGUUCCUGGAGCUACUCAAUAACUGGGAUACCCAGUAUAGCCGGGGUUUGGCUGCACUAGCAUAUUUGUAUCGUCAGCUUGACUUGGCGUGUCGCAGGAAGGGAGAUACAUCCUCAUUGUCUGGGUUUGUUUGGAGCCUAUCCGUGUGGAUGUGGGAGCAGAUCCCGGUUGGACGGCCCGAUAUCAAGGACCCCAACAUGGCAAACCCACGGGGUAAUCCAGACGGGCUGCAUGAUGAUGAUCCAUAUCGACGCCCUACGCUUGCUUACUAUUGGGAACAAGUGACAGUGUACACAUGA